rnacentral:lncRNA from 1 species
AUUUUGGCACAGCUUUCAAGAUUUUGAUACAACUGAAGCCUAAAACAAAACAGGGCAGAACAUCUUUUGUUUCUCUGAAUUUCUGGAAAUAAAUAUUUUACAAGUCACAUUUUAUGCCCCAUCUACAAUAGUAGAGGGGCAUUAUGAUUUCUGGUCUGUGGCUCUGUUCGUCCAUCCGUUCGUUCGUCUGUUCGUUCGUCC